GAGUUCAAAAUAUUUUGUCUCACUUUUUUUUGUGAUUUCCUUCUUAUUUAGGGUUAAAAGAAAAUCUUAACAAUUUAGGCUUGUUACACUUUAUUUGUAUUGUCCACUGUAUAGUGGACUACUGGACUCUUUCAGUGUGAAAAGACUAAACAAAUGAACAGAUUAUGGCUGUAGAGUGAUAUUAAACCAAGAAUACAUUCAAAUUGAUUAAAAAAACAACACACACACACACAUGCCAUAUCACUGGAAAGCCCAUG